AGCGAACGCUGGCGGCAGGCUUAACACAUGCAAGUCGAGCGGGCGCUUCGGGGUUAGCGGCAGACGGGUGAGUAACACGUGGGAACGUACCCUUUGGUUUGGCAUAACGUUGGGAAUAUCGCCCUAAUACCGGCUAUGCUCUUUCGGGGAAAGGCUUGCUGCAGAAGGGUCGGCUUUCGCCUGAUUAGUAACGUGGUGGGGUAAUGCUCUAUCAAGGCGACGAUUAGUAAAUGGUUCGCGAGGAUGAGCAGCGACACUGGGGCGGAGACACGGCCCAGACUCAUACGCGAGGCAGCAAUGCCUAAUCUAGUGCUAUGGGCAGAAGGCAGAUCCACUCGUGCCGCGUAAGUGAUGGAGGCUUGAGGGUUGUAAAGCUCUUUUGUCCGGGACGAUAAUGACGGUACCGAAAGAAUAAGCCCCGGCUAACUUCGUG
rnacentral:rRNA from 1 species